GGAAGACGUAUUAUGAAACGACCGUCUGCUGCCCUAAAGUGAAAGUUUACUCUGUCCUCUUUUUCACGUUUUUCAGAAAAUUCACGAGGCCACGCUUAUGGAAGUCAUCACUAUACGAUGAUAACGCGCAGAUGAAAUAGAAAACAAUUUAGCCGACAAUGGAUAAAUAAAAUUAGAAGGUUGUGUCAAGGAGCUCGAGUUAUUUGUCAGAAAGAAAAAUCUGUCUGUAUUCGUAUAUUCCCCUAGGGACACGUUAACCUGAAUACAAUACAUAGAUAGAUCAGCUUGAAUACGAACGACGGUUGCAUGGAUAAAGCAAAUACACAAGUUUAUGUACAGUCGAAGGACAGCACAACGACCGAACGACAAAGAGAAUUUGAAGUACUUAGCGAUCACAAAAUUGCACGCAUGAAACGUAGUGAUCCAACUCGAAGGACCAUUAAAUGUUAGGCUAGCCCUAUCCUAUCCAUCUUUAGUUCGAUUACGAGUAGAGUAGGCGGUGUAAACCCGAACCGAAAAAAGGGGCCGAUUAGGUACUACGAAUUAAUCCGUGGUCAAUUGUUCCAACAGAAAACUAGGUGAUUUGCCCUUACGUACUAAUUGACCCUUUCUUAUUUGAUUGAGUUUCACACCUCCUAUCCAAUUCAUAAUCGAUUCAGAUUUCAAUCAGAUAGGGCGAACCUAACAAUGACUUUUAGCAUCUGUGUAACGUUUAUGGUGCUGAAAGCAGCCGCCUUUCUGACCCUAAAUUUGGUUUCAUUGAACUGUACAACCAAAAUUGCAGUAAUAGCUUUCACAGAAAAAUAUAUACACAUUUUUAGCAUUUCGCUGUCAUGCUCGUUUUUCAUCUAGUAGAUCAUCAAUAGAUAUCCACGUUGUGCAUUCACCCCGUACCAUGUUCGUAUAAUGACCCCUAGCAAAACUUUUAACGUAGUGGAAAAUCGCUGUUUUAAGUUUAUAAAAUUGAUCCCUUACUUGUAUUUUAGUAGUGGGUGCUGCUUUGUUAUUGAAAUUUUGUAUUUUUGUUGUUUCAUUCCUACUGUAGUACAUUCCUCUGACGACAGCCGCUCAUCAUACUAUUUCGCCGGGAGCCCAACAGCAAGGUGCUAUUUGCAUAACCGGCUCCGGAAGGGCGCUGCGCGGCCACCCCUUUCCUGGUCCCAGAUUCUUGAUUCCGCGCGGGCUUUAAAUCUCAUGGCACGAUCGAGUUGCUCGGGUGAAGGCGUGCUUCAUCGCUCCUCCGAUUUAUCAAAGACGAGAUAAACAUAAGCGAAUGAGCGGCGUAGCAAACGCAGUCCGCGUGGCCAAUCCAAGAUUCUUCUAGUAGGGACUAGCUGGCCAGGUUAUACUCCAGGUGCUUGGAGGGUAUGUCGCCGGGGAGGAGGUGCGGAGGAGACGCUUGGAGAGAACGCAGCGAUCGUGUUGAUACUCGUCUGGUUCCAUUACAAAUCGAGAGAACUCGAGAGUAGCUGGCCGAUAAACAACCGUCGUAGACGACCCGGACAGAAGUGCGACACGAGGCUGUGGCAGCGGCCCGCAACCAAAUCACGCAUAAAAUGCCGCUACGUGUUGUACGGAUACUUAAGAAAAUUCGCAACAUUAGGAGCUCGUCUGGUAUCGAAGAAUCGAUCGGAAAUGUAUCACCGGAAUCGUAGAUCCUUUUUGCAAACCUCCGACAGGUAAUUUGGGAGCAACUGCAGGAGCAGGAGAUACUGUUCGAACUGCGACUGGAAGCGGACAGGCUGCAGCGCAAGGAACGGUAACAGAUUACUGCGUCCGAACGAGAGGCUCGCAUAGAAGAGAGGAUAACGCGGAUCGAGUACUAUAAUACCAAGUGCUAUCACUCGGAAGCGUGUGUAAAUAAUACGAACAUUCAUGUAAAUAUUGCGAGUGUGCCUGUUACUUCGGGUGUUUCUAUGGUCACUCAAUUGCAUAUUAUUAAUCAAUCGCGUACGUAUUGAUCAAUUUACUCGUGAUUCUCUGUUCUGCGUGAAGAAAUAGACCUAUCAACCAAUCAACCUACGGUUGAAUUCCGAAAACGAAGGUUUAGGUCAUGUUGUAAUUUUUAUUUAUUUACCAUUUGUAUAAUUUAGUUAAUCGUAAUAUUUUAACUUGUCAAUAUGAAUAAUACAUACAAAGAUUGCUGGGAAUAUUUUCGAAAAAAUAAAUACGAAGAAUCUGGCCCA